rnacentral:lncRNA from 1 species
GGCCGGCGCUGCCCUCCGCCGGGGGAGCGCUGCCCCGCGGCUGUCCCCCGCCCGCCUCCUGCCCGCUCCGGCGCCCACGCCGUUCCACCGGCAAAAGUCACCGGCAAAAGCCAAGCGGGGCGGCGGUACGGCUGCCCCGGGAGGUGGUACCGGGCUGGGGAGGCGGCCCACCCGAGGGGUCUGCGACAAGAGCUGUACCGAGGCUAAACAGGGGUGGUGUAAAUGGCAUAGUCGCUCCUGUGAAAUCAAGGGGGUUACCGAAUUUCUUCCAGUAGGGAUUGCUUGCCAAAAUAGUAUCUGCAGAAAGGAUUAAAAGUUAAAUCCCAGUAAAUUGCCGCGCUCUUUUCUGCCAUUUCCCUACCUAUUAGUCGAGGCAUGCAAAGAACAUCCUACCAAAAACCCUAGUAAAGAGCCAAUUUUGCAUAAUUUUAUUCCUGAAGAAAUAUGUGUAUUCGCUUAAAAUUCGGCUUCGUGAUGGUACUCGUCCGACUUUUAGACGAACGCCAAGAAGCUCUUAUAAGGAAAAUAACUGGCACUGUAAUUUAUUUCCCGGAUAAAUUUUGGAACACAGCGUUCUCUUUCGACCCCUUUUGAACUAAACGGGCGUUUCAGCCUGGCAGAGCCCGCUCCUCCCGCUCGCAACACAGAGGAAAGAAGUUGGAAGCGCGCUCGAAGCCCCAUAGAUUUUGAGUUAAUUGUGUUCGGUAGUUCUCUAAUGAAAUCUACCACUCAAGAAAACAAGGAAAUCAGUUUGCUUUUCACACAAAACAUCGAAUACGUUUUAAGUAAACUGCUUAAUUAAAUUUAAUUUGCAGCGAGGAAGGAAUUGCAGAUCCGGCGACGCAAUUUGGUGGAAAAGGAUCUGAUUCCCGGGACGGAAACUUAGCACUCAAGUGGGAGCUUAGGAGGAGGUCCCGGCAGACAUUUCGGGUUUCGCAAGGAGCGCGGUUUCCUGACAGACGAGCGCGCAGGGAGCAGGCAGCGGGGGGAAAUCCUGCCGCCGCCCCACGGCGCCCGGGCGGCCCGGCUCGGCGGACGGGCAUGGAUGCACUAAUGGACGGAUGGAGGAUGAGCGCUGCCGGCGAGCAGGUGAGACCUGCCAAUCCCUUGCCUUCACUGAAAAUCUGGGAUUUUGCUGUUUGUGCCGGUUAAACCUCUAUUCCUGUACCUCACACUAGCUUAAAAGAUAAAAAAUAAAAUUCUGUUCAUCACUGAAUAACCUCUUUCA